rnacentral:rRNA from 1 species
UACAGAGGGUGCAAGCGUUGUUCGGAAUUAUUGGGCGUAAAGGGCGCGUAGGCGGUGUCGCAAGUCCGUGGUGAAAUCUCCAGGCUCAACUUGGAGUCUGCCACGGAAACUGCGGUGCUUGAGUGUGGGAGAGGUGCGUGGAAUUCCCGGUGUAGCGGUGAAAUGCGUAGAUAUCAGGAGGAACACCGGUGGUGUAGACGGCUUUCUGGACCGACACUGACGCUGAGACACGAAAGCGUGGGUAGCAAACAGG